rnacentral:rRNA from 1 species
UACGGAGGGUGCAAGCGUUGUCCGGAUUUAUUGGGUUUAAAGGGUGCGUAGGCGGCCCGUUAAGUCAGUGGUGAAAGCCUCCAGCUCAACUGGAGAACUGCCAUUGAUACUGACGGGCUUGAGUACAGACGAGGUUGGCGGAAUUGAUGGUGUAGCGGUGAAAUGCAUAGAUACCAUCAAGAACUCCGAUUGCGUAGGCAGCUAACUAGGCUGUAACUGGCGCUGAGGCACGAAAGCGUGGGGAGCGAACAGG